CCUACGGGUGGCAGCAGUGAGGAAUAUUGGUCAAUGGGCGCGAGUCUGAACCAGCCAAGCAGCGUGAAGGAGGACGGCCCUACGUAUUGUAAACUUCUUUUAUAAGGGAAUAAAGUAAGGCACGUGUGCCUUUUUGAAUGUACUUUAUGAAUAAGGAUCGGCUAACUACGUGCCAGCAGCCGCGGUAAUACGGAGGAUCCGAGCAUUAUCCGGAUUUACUUGGUUUAAAGGGUUGACUGGGGGGCAUCAGAAGAAGCUAGGGAAAUCUGGUGGGUCAACCAUUCAGAGUAUUAGGUAUACUGUUAAGCUUGAGAGCGUUAUGGGUAAGUGGAAUUGGUAGUGUAGGGGUGAAAUGCGUAGAUAGUAGAAAGAACACCAAUAGCGGAGGCAGGUUACUGGGACGGUUCUGACACUAAGGCACGAAAGCGUAGGGAGCAAACGGGAUUAGAUACCCUAGUAGUC
rnacentral:rRNA from 1 species